rnacentral:miRNA from 14 species
CAGAUCCAACUUAAAUGUCAGGUAAACAAUGAAUCAUUUUUUAGUAUAAGUGUGUCCCUUGCAAUAUUUGGGACAUACUUAUAUUAAAAAUGAAUUACUGUAUCUGUGAAAUUC